AGGGCGGGGGCGGUCGUCGUCGUGUCGAAACGUCUGCGACGGCGCCCGUCCAAA
rnacentral:precursor_RNA from 1 species